rnacentral:rRNA from 1 species
AUUGAACGCUGGCGGCAGGCCUAACACAUGCAAGUCGAACGGUAACAGGAAGAAGCUUGCUUCUUUGCUGACGAGUGGCGGACGGGUGAGUAAUGUCUGGGAAACUGCCUGAUGGAGGGGGAUAACUACUGGAAACGGUAGCUAAUACCGCAUAACGUCUCAAGACCAAAGAGGGGGACCUUCGGGCCUCUUGCCAUCGGAUGUGCCCAGAUGGGAUUAGCUAGUAGGUGGGGUAACGGCUCACCUAGGCGACGAUCCCUAUCUGGUCUGAGAGGAUGACCAGCCACACUGGAACUGAGACACGGUCCAGACUCCUACGGGAGGCAGCAGUGGGGAAUAUUGCACAAUGGGCGCAAGCCUGAUGCAGCCAUGCCGCGUGUAUGAAGAAGGCCUUCGGGUUGUAAAGUACUUUCAGCGGGGAGGAAGGGAGUAAAGUUAAUACCUUUGCUCAUUGACGUUACCCGAAGAAGAAGCACCGGCUAACUCCGUG